UACGAAGGGGGCUAGCGUUGCUCGGAAUCACUGGGCGUAAAGCGCACGUAGGCGGAUUGUUAAGUCAGGGGUGAAAUCCUGGAGCUCAACUCCAGAACUGCCUUUGAUACUGGCGAUCUCGAGUCCGGGAGAGGUGAGUGGAACUGCGAGUGUAGAGGUGAAAUUCGUAGAUAUUCGCAAGAACACCAGUGGCGAAGGCGGCUCACUGGCCCGGUACUGACGCUGAGGUGCGAAAGCGUGGGGAGCAAACAGGGAUUAGAAC
rnacentral:rRNA from 1 species